GAAUGGGGUAAGCAAAUCUGUCCGGGUGUUUUGUGAUGAGUGUGUUUUUUAUGUGUCGUCUUCCAACACCAUGUGCACCUAGUAAGACUAGUGUUUUCCUUUUGAAUGCUGGCAGUUUUACUACUUCUUCAUAUGUGACGAGAUCUAAUUGAUCAAACACUGCAUUGUGCUUUGCCAAAUAUUUAUCUUUGUACUGCUUUUUUUUCUUUCCAAACCAAGUACAGCUGGCCUGUUGUUCCUGUUUGGUCUUCUCCAUGGCAAUACAAGCAACCCGCCAUUCUUGAAGUUCAGGAGAAGGAAUAAGACCUGCAGUACCGUUUUUGGAGUUCUCCAGUUUACCCUGCCACCAGUUGUGAUCGUCUUUGCUAAUGAUUUGGAUAAUAUCACCAACUCGGAAUCUGAUGCCAGCUUCUUUGCAAGGAAUGAGGUCAUCCUUUGCUGGAUCAUAUUCAAAUUGUGCUCUUACAUAUAUCUGUCGUCCUUUUGGUUGUGUUGUCGACGGCAAGUCCUCACAGGAUGAAGACUGUGUGCGAUAACUUGGCACUAUCUUAAAGGUGAUACUUCCACGCAUUUCCCUAAGCAUUUUUUGUAGUUGUUCUACUGUUUGAUUUGCCACACUGAUGCCGUUUAUUUCUCGGAUUUCAUCCCCUACAUGUAACGUACCUUGCCGGUGAAUCAUUCCUCCGUGCAUAAUUCUUGCCACAAUGCAAUGGUUCAGCUCAUUCAUUUUUAAAGUGAUUCCCAUUGGUUCAUCUGUGUUCUUCUGGAACUGCACCAGUCGAACUCGCGUUACAUUCUCC
rnacentral:lncRNA from 1 species